CAUAAAAAUACCAAUCAUUUGAAUAAUAUUUUUUCCAGCACACAGAUAAACUUCUAGUUAAGAAAUGAAAUAUAACAUCAUGUUCUUUAUGGUUGUGAUUAUUUCAUUUAGAGAAUGCCAUUCUUGGUGCAGAGCGGAGCCAGUUUCAGAAAAUUCCCUUGGGUGUAGCUAUAAAGGUAACUUCAUACGAAAAGGAUGGACCAAAAGUUUUUACCAGCCUGAUUGUGUUAAGUGCAGCUGUUCUAAAACAACGUUUUCAUGUUGUUCAAUAGGCAUAACAAUAACAAGCGUGGGGCCAGAAUGUAAAAUUGUUCAGGAGGGUUGUACUCAACGAGCAGUUUUGAAGUCGGAUAGCAAUAAAGAAUGUUCUACGGUCACUGCAGUUGGCAGGUAAACCAGUGGGACCCUGAUUCGUUAUUGGCGGAAGCGUUGUGGUAUUUAGAAUCAAAGCCAUGUUCCAGACCGUAUGACACUUUUAGCAUGAUAACAAUAUAUAUAAGCAUAUAUUAAAGAAGAAAUUACAU